rnacentral:lncRNA from 1 species
CUGACUUCCUUCCGUGUGAUGUGACUAUACCGACUGAUAUCUCUUGUUUGAGUUUGAAGUAACAUUCCACAGCCGCUGAACGAAUCCAUCAGUUUGAACAAUAUUCAUUGUAGGCUAUACACUAAAUUGAACUAGUGGGUUACCUUACCUGCAUAAACCAACACGAUAGCUAUGUAUCCUUUGGAUUAUAAGGGGUACCCCAUUGAAGUUUUUGCUUUAUUUCCGUGGUUCAUGUUGCAGACAUCAUUUGCAAAUUUAAUAUAUUUAUGACUGAAAUCAUGUACAA